rnacentral:rRNA from 1 species
UACGUAGGUGACAAGCGUUGUCCGGAUUUACUGGGCGUAAAGAGCGCGCAGGCGGUCGUUCAAGUCGAGUGUGAAAGCCCCCGGCUCAACUGGGGAGGGUCACUCGAUACUGAUCGACUCGAAGGCAGGAGAGGGAAGUGGAAUUCCCGGUGUAGUGGUGAAAUGCGUAGAGAUGGGGGAGAACACUCGUGGCGAAGGCGGCCAGCUGGGACCAGUUCUGACACUGAGGCGCGACAGCGUGGGGGAGCAAACAGG